ensembl:snoRNA SNORD115 Small nucleolar RNA SNORD115
GGAUCAAUGGUGAGACCUCAUACUGUCUCAAAGAGAGAUGAUGACUUAAAUAUCAUGCUCAAUAGGAUUACACUGAGGC